rnacentral:rRNA from 1 species
UACAGAGGGUGCAAGCGUUGUUCGGAAUUACUGGGCGUAAAGCGCGUGUAGGCUGCGAUGUAAGUCAGGUGUGAAAGCCCUCAGCUUAACUGAGGAAGUGCACUUGAUACUGUGUCGCUUGAGUGUCGGAGGGGGUGGCGGAAUUCCCGGUGUAGAGGUGAAAUUCGUAGAUAUCGGGAGGAACACCUGUGGCGAAGGCGGCGAUCUGGACGAUGACUGACGCUGAGACGCGAAAGCGUGGGGAGCAAACAGG